ACGAACGCUGGCGGCGUGCCUAACACAUGCAAGUCAACUUGACUGAAGGGGCAAUCUGACAGUAGAGUGGCGCAAGGGUGCGUAACGCGUAAGUAACUUGCCCCAAGGUAAGGAGUAACGUCGAGAAAUCGGCGCUAAUACCUCAUAAUGCAGCGGAUCCGCAUGGAUAUGUUGUUAAAGGUUUACCGCCUUGGGAUAGGCUUGCGUCUGAUUAGUUAGUUGGUGUGGUAACGGCACACCAAGGCUACGAUCAGUAACUGGUCUGAGAGGAUGAUCAGUCACACUGGAACUGAGACACGGUCCAGACUCCUACGGGAGGCAGCAGUGAGGAAUAUUGGGCAAUGCUCGAAAGAGUGACCCAGCAACGCCGCGUGGAGGAUGAAGGUAUUCUAUAUCGUAAACUCCUGUGAGAGCAGACGAAAGACAGAUUAUUAAUCUGGAUGACUGUAUGCUCAGAGGAAGCCCCGGCUAACUACGUG
rnacentral:rRNA from 1 species